rnacentral:rRNA from 1 species
GACGAACGCUGGCGGCGUGCCUAAUACAUGCAAGUAGAACGCUGAAGGAGGAGCUUGCUUCUCUGGAUGAGUUGCGAACGGGUGAGUAACGCGUAGGUAACCUGCCUGGUAGCGGGGGAUAACUAUUGGAAACGAUAGCUAAUACCGCAUAACAGUAGAUAUCGCAUGAUAUCUACUUGAAAGGUGCAAUUGCAUCACUACCAGAUGGACCUGCGUUGUAUUAGCUAGUUGGUGAGGUAACGGCUCACCAAGGCGACGAUACAUAGCCGACCUGAGAGGGUGAUCGGCCACACUGGGACUGAGACACGGCCCAGACUCCUACGGGAGGCAGCAGUAGGGAAUCUUCGGCAAUGGACGGAAGUCUGACCGAGCAACGCCGCGUGAGUGAAGAAGGUUUUCGGAUCGUAAAGCUCUGUUGUAAGAGAAGAACGAGUGUGAGAGUGGAAAGUUCCCACUGUGACGGUAUCUUACCAGAAAGGGACGGCUAACUACGUG